rnacentral:lncRNA from 1 species
GUUCAGAAAGGAAAUACAGUUGUUUGGGUUGGCGAUGCCUAAGGAGCCCUCUUACCUAAUUAUGAAAGAAGAGUUUUACAGUACAUUGCACUUCAUCCAUAUUUAAAUUACAACUUAACUUUUCCAAAUUUAUAUUCUAGUCAAAUCCCCUCUGUUUGUUCAAAUAAGAUAGAUUUUUUUUUACAAUGAUAAUUGGCUAGUUAGAAACAUUUCAUACAAUAUUUAAUUGGAAAUUACAGCACUCACAAGAAUCAAACAUGUAGCUAUAUUUUAAACCAAUGAAAUGAGAUUUAAAUUAUUUAAAAAAAAAAUACACUGCAGGGAAUUUCAGAUGACCUAAGCAUCAUGUCAUUCUUUACGGCAUUUUUUUUUCCUCUGUUAUUUUGCUAUGCUUAAAUCAGAAAUAAAAGGUCGUGUUAAACCUUAAAAUUCUUAAUUCAAAAUACUCUGUCCCGUCCACUGUUUAAAAUCUUUUGUGCCUUGAAGGAAAUGUCAUGGAAGGAAAAAAAAAAAAGGAAGGCUAAGCUCUGCAUAUUGGACAACCUCAUAAGCAAUGAAUCUACUGUCAUUAAGAAAUGUUUAUAUCUUGCGCCAAAUCCUGCCUUCAGGCAUUUGUUUGACCUUCAAUGAAAUGUCAUGUGAAGGCAUAAUUUGGCCUUGGGCUGUAUACAGAUGAGAAGCUAUCCAACAUUCACUGUACUAUGUCCAUUGUGCUAUAGAAAAUGGACAGGAAGGGAGAAAAAUUUGUAUGGUAAAAAUGUUUGCAAUGUAUUGUGUCCACAUUUUGCUUUCAUUCACUAGAGUGCAUUAUAUUAUUGGUGUAUGAUUAUCUGGGAAUUCAACUGCUUACAGAAGGUUUCCUUCUUUAGUAUCAAGAUUGAUUCUUUUGUGUAGCCUAAUGUUACAUAAGUCAGGAGCUUUCUCAGUUCUGAAAAAGGAGCAUGACUGUGUCUGCACAGAAAGAACCACUUCUAGGGAAAUUGACAGUGAGACAAAGCUGAAACCACUCUCUGUAGUGCGGUGGCCUAUAUCCUCUUCAGACAACAUUCACUUGGUUGGUCCAAAGAAGGUGAAUGGGUUUUAGCAGAAAACAGUAACAUGAGCCCACAGUAGAGAUUGGGAAGUGAACUCCACUGCUUUUGCGAUUUAGAUGUAUCUAUUAAAUAAAUCCAUCCUUUAUUAAUGGUCAAGAUGACUUCUACUCCUGCAUAUUCUAAACCACCCUCUCUUUAACUGUGUGCUCUAGCUGUAACCCAACGGAGUCUCUUGAGAUAUAGUAGAGAAGUAAAAGUGACUGCCUUUAUCCUUUUUCCUACAGGAGAAAACAGAAAAACAGUAGAAAUAGAUUAAUACCAAUAGUUUGGUUAUUGGAAUAAAAGAAAACAAUCCAGGUGUAAGGGAAUAGCAUACAUGGUUUGAAAAUCUUUUCUACUUAUUUUUCUUCUUAUUGUUGCUAAAACUCGUGAUAAGCUAUUGAACUAAUGCCCAUUUGCUGAAGGUAAUCCAGUAAGAUCUUUUUUUAAAUACAAAUUGGGUAAAACUGCAUAGAAACUUGGGAUUUUAUAGUGUGCACUCUCUUUUGUGUAUAUAGCACCAUGGGCUGUGUGAUAAUAGAUUUCUUCUUAGCUUAAGGAUACAUUAAGGGAAAUAGAUUUAAUAAACAACAGAAAUCAGCCUACAUUUUUACUGAUUGAGUCUGUUUUACUCUUUAGUAACUUCGUCCCCUGGGAACAUGAAUCAUGCAGUGUCUUUGUGUUAAUGAUUUCGUGUAAGUCUAUCCUGUACACGUACAUCUUCUUUUAGAAGCUUUUACUAUGUGGAUGCUGUCUGUUAUCAUUGCUUGAUAAAAGAAUAAACCUCUUAUGUUUU